rnacentral:rRNA from 1 species
GACGAACGCUGGCGGCGUGCCUAACACAUGCAAGUCGAACGGAAAGGCCCCUUUGUGGCUCCUCGAGUGGUGAACGCGGGCGUAACACGAACGUAACCUGCCCUUGCCUUUGGGAUAACUACAGGAAACUGGGGCCAAUACCGGUUAGGAAUCCUUGCUGCAUGGUGGGGGUUGGAAAGCUUCGGCGGGUUUGGGUGGACUUGCGGCUUAUCGGCUUGCUGGUGGGGUAGGGGGUUACCGAGGCUGUGGCGGGUGGCCGGCCUGAGGGGGCGACCGGCCACAUUGGGACCUAGGGACGGCCCAGGCACCGACGGGAGGGAGCAGGGGGGAAUAUUGCACAAGGGGCGGAGGCCGGAUGCAGCAACGCCGCGGGCGGGAAGACGGUCUUAGGGGUGUAAACCGCUUUUGGCAGGAGCGAAGCUUGUGGUGACGGUACCUGCAGAAGAAGCACCGGCUAACUACGUG